ensembl:lncRNA
CAUAGGUUGUCUGUGUGACCUCGGAGCAGUCACGCUCACCUCUGUGCCCACAGCUGGCAAGAUGCUGGAGUUGUCUGGAACUCGUUUUGGUAUGAACUGCUUGGGGCCAGGGCAGUGUCGCGGUGAUAAGGAGCUUUGCAACCCAACAGGAUCUCUGAAGCACUUUGAUGAUGUUGUAAUGGCGGAAAAUUACAGCAAUUGGAGCUGGAGAGGGUACCUCCAGAAUUUGUACAGCACUGCACAUGAUUUGCUGGCGUCUUCUGACUGUUCCUGUAAUGCAAACAAUGGUCUGCAUUCAAUCCGGGAGCAGCUCCCAGAGUUGUGGUGACGAGUGGACAAGAACUUCUGGGGAGGAUAUUUUACCUGCAUCCGCAUCGGUGCCUGACAAGGAUGAGAGAAGGGCCUCUCCAGGGCUUUUGCUGCCUCCACCACCGUGGGUCAACAUCCAGGAAGGAAGACGUUUCUAAGGAAACCACGGAGGCUUUCCACCAAGGUGGUUGCAUGAAAGCGCUGAACUGGGCAUGGACAAAGCUUUACCUGAUUGUCUGGAGCCAGCAUAGAAAGGCAUAACUUUGGGCUUCUUAAGAUCUACAGAUGGAAACCUCCUGGCAGCGUGUGCAGAAACGAUCAGGUCCACAAGGACAACACGGGACAAAUCAAUCUUACAAGAUGGAUGGGGCCACUGGGUGACGCUUGGGUGAAAACCGCUUCCAGAUUUCACACCAGCUUCGCUUUUGUGCUCCGGCUGAAAACACAGCUUUAUUGCAUGAGCAUAAGUAAUACAGGAAGGCACUUACCACUCCAUUUUGUGCAGCUUUUGUUUGUGAUAGUCUUAAUUUACUGCUGAAGUGAAUCCGAGACUGAUAAUUUUUAUGAUUUUUUACCGAGAAAAGACAUUAAGCUACUUACUUUGGCUGCACUUCCUACUCUGCAGAAAUUAUUUAUCCAAGCACAGCGGCAAAGUGGGUCAGGGGAGGAAUAAUAAUAAUAAUAAUAAAAGAAACCGCCCACAAAAAUCUUGAAUCCCUUGCAGAAGUUGGAUUAAGGCUCAAGAUACUGGAUGCAAACCGCUGCCACGUUCUCCAUUUCAAAGGAAAGGUGUCAGCUCAGGCAGCGAUGUCAAAGGCUGCAAAGUUUGGGCUGCAAAAUCCCACUCCUACCGUUUGCCAUGCUGGCCACAAAGGAACAGAGAGCUGGAUUUGGCUCUGCAAGCUACUCUGCCUUUUCCUCAAGGGAUAUAUACCCCAAGAACUGAGUUGCUUCAUUGAUUCUGUGCAUGGGCAAGCAGCAGUGCCCAUGGGGAGGAGGGGAGAACAGGGAAGAGAAAGCUUUUUUCCCUGUAUUUUCUACCACCAACUGCUCAGUUUGGGUGAAAUAGGAGAGUCACAUCUUUUCCCAACUCUCUGAAGUGAGGGGAACUUUGCUGAGGCCCCAGCUUGAACCGGACCGUGCCCAGAUAUCAUCAGAUCCUGCACAAGAAAAAUAAAGAGCUCAAGUUGCAAAAGAAGAGUGAUGGAGGAGUGAAACUCGAGAGGAGCAUACAGUCCGCUGACAGCUCCCUGCAGCUCAAACCGACCCGUCAGGGCCACAGCAAAGCCUUGGAGCAGCAGCAUUGUGCUCCAGGAAAAUCAGCAUGGUGCAGCCAGGAGGGGAUCAUGCUCAUGCAGAACGAUCUCUGCAGUGGCACCAGAGGAAGAGAUCACACCAUUUGCAAAAGCAAUCUGCGCAGGUGAGAAGGGAAACACAAACCACAUCAGCAGCUGAGCUAAUCAAAAAGGAUCUAGCAUUAAUAAACCAGAAGGGGAGGAAAAGAGAUAAAACCUGGCAAGGCUGUUGGCAGAAAGAUGCUUUUCUUGCCUCACCAGAAGGAAUCCAACACACAAAAACCCAACACAUUUCUUGCAUUAGACAAUUAAAACCCCAUCUUAAUCCUGAGAGACUUCAGGUGGCACAGCAUGUUGUUAUUUAAUUACACCUUCCAGGGCUGAUUAGCUAUCCAAGCAGCAAGGCAUCUCCACCUCCAGUACAAGUAAAGGAAGAGAGAGCAGUGGGAUGGAACCUCUGUACCACGAAGAGUGAUGUUGUCAGUGACCUCCGUUGACUAUGUGGAGCAUCACAGGCAGUCCUGCGAGCACAGCCCACCUCUCCACUCUGGGAAAUAGCUCAGAACACCAAACUCACAAGUAGAAGAGUGCCUGAGCCAGCAGGAACAGGCCUUCAGCUGGGAAGGUGUCCAUUGUCUAGUCUGGGAUUUCACAGGGAAUCUGGUGCCAGGAGCCAUUUGGAUGAUGCCAGACUGCUGAACACAUCCAGCUCAUCAGGUGUCCAAACUCAUCGCUCAAGUUGCCUUCAUUGGGUGUAAAGGACUCCCCACAUUUAAAGUUGGCCAGUUUUGUGGAUGGGAAAAUGCAGUCAAGUGAAUGCACCUCUGUGGGAAAGAGAUGUGAAAUCCUCUGGCAGCCUCACCAUUCCUUAGUGAAUUUUCACCCAUGCUAUGCUUUCCCCCAGCAAGAUCAACACACUGCUGCUUUGAAGGGAAAUGUCUGAUUCCCAAAUCUGGUUCUGGCUGGCAUGCUGAUCCUAUCAUCUUUCAUGUGUGUGCAGGGAGGGGGGACUUUACAACUUUAAUGAUUGCAGAAAGAAGUUCAUCUGCCAGUGCGACCUUUAGGAAGCACAUUUCCUUCUGCCUUGCAUGUGAUUCUGAAAAACAUUUGGUUGACAUCUUUCUUUGAAGCUUCCCAAUCAUCCUACGUAUCUACAAAAUCCGAACAGCAAACCAUUGACAGAACCACAGUUUCACAAUAUUUUGAUUAAAGAACAACUCGUCCUCUCUGCUUUGAUGCUUCCCUGUCUGUGUUUCCUGAAGGCAGAAUUUCAACACUGAGCAGGACAUUGGAUCUCAGCCAUUUAAAG